UACGAAGGGGGCUAGCGUUGUUCGGAAUUACUGGGCGUAAAGCGCGUGUAGGCGGGUCGUUAAGUCAGGGGUGAAAUGCCAAGGCUCAACCUUGGAACUGCCUUUGAUACUGGAGACCUUGAGUCCGGGAGAGGUGAGUGGAACUGCGAGUGUAGAGGUGAAAUUCGUAGAUAUUCGCAAGAACACCAACGGCGAAGGCAGCUCGCUGGGACGGUACUGACGCUGAGACGCGAAAGCGUGGGGAGCGAACAGG
rnacentral:rRNA from 1 species